CUCUUACAUAUAAUUGCCAGAUAUAAUUUUCACAUUCUUGUAAUAAAUUUAUCAUCAUGGUUUUUUUUCAAAUACCUGGUAUGGUACUAUAGCUACCAUGAUCUUCAAACAUCUAGCAUAAUAGGCAUGGUGAAGAGAAUAGGAAAGGUUUCAGAAACUCUUCCUAAGAAUACAUCUUUCGGGGGCAGAACCAGGAGAACAUUGUACACAGAGACUGACACAUUGUAGUGCAAUGGAAUGUAAUGGACUUCUCUGCUAGCAGCAAUGCAAUGAUCCAGGACAAUUCUGAGGGACUUAUGAGAAAGAAUGCUAUCCACAUCCAGAGGAAGAACUGUGAGAGUAGAAAAACAGGAGAAAAACAACUGCUUGAUCAAAUGGGUUGAUGGGGAUAUGAUUGGGAAUGUAGACUCUAAAUGAUCACCCUAGUGCAAUUAUCAAUAAUAUGGAAAUAGGUCUUGAUCAAGGACACAUGUAAAACCCAGUGGAAUUGUGUAAUGGCUAUAGAAGGAGGACAGGAGGGAAAGAACCUGAAUCAUGUAACCAUGGGAAAACUAUUCUAAAUUAAUUAAUUAAAGUUUUUCAAUUAAAAAAAGAAUACAUCUUUCACAUUCUUUUUGUAGUGACAGAGAACUAGAAACUAAGAAUGUGCCCAUUUAUUAGAGAAUUACUGAAUAAAUUAUGGUAUAUAAAUAUAGUGGAUUAUUAUUGAACCAAAAGAAUUAUAUAAAGGAUGCUUUUAGAGAAACUUGGUAAAGUGUGGGUGAAUUCACGAAGUGAAGUAAGCAGAACAGGGAGAAUAAUUUAUUUGAUAAUAAUAAUGAAUUCAUUAUUCAUGGAAUUCAUGGAAUAAUGAAUGAUUCCAGUAUGCCAAUAUGAAGUGAGGGGGAAGGGAACUUGGAGUGUCAGUUGGUCUUGUGACUCUCUCUCUUCUGGCUCUUGUGCUCUCUCCCUAUCUCAGGAUAGAAGUACCUCUAUUCCUGGAUUUCCCAAAUUGUGUGCUCUACCAGCAUUCCUGUGAUCUUGUCAUCGAACAAAAGGAUUUAAGGGGAGCAAUUCGAACUAGACAAAGAUUUGAAGGAGGAAGAAAGAAAGGAUUCCUGAUUCAUAUGACAGUCCCUCUGUACAUUAUCAUUGAUACUGCACGAAGUAUUGAAGAUUCUGAGACCAAAAGAAAAAACAGUCACCUUCCCGCAGGGAAAUUUCAUUCUACUGGAGGAAACAGUAUGACCAUAUAGAAAUAAAUAGUAAGUACAUACCA
rnacentral:lncRNA from 1 species